rnacentral:rRNA from 1 species
UACGUAGGGUGCGAGCGUUGUCCGGAAUUAUUGGGCGUAAAGAGCUCGUAGGCGGCUUGUUGCGUCUGCCGUGAAAAUUCACAGCUUAACUGUGGACGUGCGGUGGAUACGGGCAUGACUGGAGUUCGGUAGGGGAGACUGGAAUUCCUGGUGUAGCGGUGAAAUGCGCAGAUAUCAGGAGGAACACCGGUGGCGAAGGCGGGUCUCUGGGCCGAUACUGACGCUGAGGAGCGAAAGCGUGGGGAGCAAACAGG